rnacentral:lncRNA from 1 species
GGGCCUAGUUCAAAAUGAAAAUGCCAGCUUCUUUGUUAGAAAAUUAUCAAGGAUUUCAAGACAGUGACAGCAUAGGAUGAAAUCAAGGGCCCUUCUAAGCACAAGGACAUUUUGUGACCACACAGGUUGCACACCCACAAAACUGACCCUGGGUACCUGUGAGUCAGCUCGCUGAAGCAGAUGUGAAAAUCAAGGCAGGUCAGCUGGGGGAUGUCUGGCUGCAGCCCCUAUACUCCCCACCCCUGCUGCCCUGUAACACCAGUUCCCAGACUUUUACCAGGCUUGGGACAUUGUCUCUCCAACAGCAGCCCCUCUCCCUGUGCUGACGGCAAUGGAGACUUUAUCUCUCAGAAAAGAGGGAAUCGCAAGGCCACGGUGGAAGGAGGGCUGAGGGCUGGAAUGAAGUGUGGCUCUGGGCUCUCGGGGCCUCUGAGUCCCAAAGCCCCCCAGGGAUUCUCUAGACAGGCCACUGGAGCCUUCUGAGUGAGCGUAUGGAGGUGUUUUGGAACAGGAUGGAGAAACAACAGAGACUACGCUCUGGGUCACCUCUUAAGGUCCCAAGAGGAUACAUCCUGUGCAUGUGUGACAGUCCAGGAGCAGAACCAAGAUCCAGGAAGCCUUCUCCCCACUUGGGAACUUACCUCCAACUCAAUGUGGUCGUGGAGUUUCUUGCAGGUCGCUGCAAAAGUCUCCGAGGUGCCAAAUUCAAAGUACCACAGCUUGUUCUUCAUCCUGGACCACAAAGCAGAGAGAUGUCUCAAUAUUCCAUACUUGAAAUGCUCAUGUAAAAUAGCUAUGUUCUUUGGAUUGGGAGGCCCAAGCCUUCAGCAAUUUCCCCAAUCUUACAUUUUCAGCACUUGUUAAUCAGAUGAUCAAGGAAUAGAAAUUUUUUACCAACUGUUCUUGCUCGGAACUUAGAGAAAAUCCACUUAUUUCUUAGACAUCACGGCAACCCUGGGUGAACUACCAACUGCUCCCCGAGUUUCCUGGUCAGAACAGGAAGAAGGUCUCUGUAGCUGCAUUAAGGAAAGAGCUCUACGAGAAGUCAAGCCAGAGGUGGCAAAUAUCAAUACAGUGCUCUGGCCACUGUCCUUUCCAUUACUCAGGCAGAACUCUCUUUUGGGUUGUAGCAGAUGACUCUCCAGAAUAAUAGACACAACUCUUUUCUGCAGAUUUCCCCAAGAGUCUACCUAGAACUUGAAGAUGAAACUGUGUUCUUCCAUUGUAUGAAGACUUCUGAGAUCUAGUUGGUUGGGAAAUAGCUUCUCUGACUCUUAGUAUGCAUGAAAAGAACUAAUAAAUGAUGAAGAAAGUAAGAGUAAGCAAGCUCUGGGAAUUAUGCCUCAUGAACAAAAUUAGAAGAGCUGGGUGUACUGUAAGCAGACCGGUGCUUCUCAACCCAUGUGCUGUGGCACAGGCGUACCUGGGAUGUCAGUCUCCUCAGCCUGCAGAGCAGCCAGGUGGGAUCUGGGACAGGCUGAGCCCCAAUGCCAUGGCAAACAUUCUCAUUUGUAUUCCCAGUGUGCCACACAUAGAUUUUCAUUUUCUAUGCAUGCCAUGAUGAUGUAAAAUAAUUGGGGGAAACAUUGUUCUAGAUGACUGGUUCUCUGCAUGCACAGUCAUGUGCAUAUCUAAUCACUUGGGGAUUUUAUGAAGAUGCACAUUCUGAUUCAGUGAUUUAGGGUUAGGGCCCAAGAUUCCUCAUCUUCAGUGCUGCUGGUCCAGGGGAUACUGUGAGUCAUGUGGAUCUGGAGACUAUGCCUGUGGUUCUCAAACAUUGGUAUUUAUAAGAAUUACCUGGGGAAUGUGAUUAAAGUGCUGCUUCCAGGGCUCCAAUCUGUAGAGAUUCUAUGAGAGAGUUGUGGAACGGGGCCCAGGAUUGUGCAUUUUUAUGUGUGUCCAAGUGAUCAUUAUGCAGAUGGUCAGUGGACAGGACAUUGCUGUAGAUCCCAGUGAAAUGAAAACAUGGAAAAGGACAGAACCAGUUAAACCUGAAGGAGAGAAUUCUCCAGGGAGGACAGAACGAGG